UUUCUUUCCAAAGCUAAAACCUCUCUGGCAACAGAGAACCCGACUGUUAUGGAUUCAGCAGUUGACGGUUGACCUCCAGCAGGUCUGGGCUUGAUGUUCACCGAUUUUCCCUCAGCUCCGACUGUGGCUCCUCUCAGCUGACUCUGACCCUGCUCUCAGCCGGGCUGCAUCUGCCCAUCUCAGCACAUCAAUAAACAGCAGAGGGAAACUACCACCUUGGAAGGAGCCAGGCAGUUUCUGCUGGGUAGGCCGCAGCCUGGAACAUGGAAGUAGCUUCUUCCAUCCUACACUGGAAACCACCCAGCAUCCCGGGCCCUCCAGAGAAGAGCCAGACUCCCUUCCCUGGGAAGAGACUAUAGUCCUAUCUGUAUCCUCCGUGGUCAUUGCCCCUCAGUCACAGCAAUGAAGAGCAAAUUACCUGUUUUCUGUAUGUUCCUCUGACAACAACUGCCACAGAGUAAAUAUGAAAGGUUCUGGAUGAUUCCUUGUCAGCUUUUAUUAAAAUUCCACAUACUUGGCAUUUCUUAGCUAUCUGGGUUGACUCCUGGUUCCACCCCUUACUAGUUGCGUGACCUUGAAAAAGUGACUUACCUUCUCACAUUCUCAGUUUCCAUAUCUGUCAAGUGUAGGUAAAAGCACCAAACUGGUAGAGUUAUUUUGAGAAUUAUAUGAGUUCUGAGUGAGAGGGUGCUAAGACCUUGCUGGUUAGAGUGGUUUUUCAAUCCUGAUCACCUCCUUCUCCCUCUUAGCUUCUUUUCUCCUCCCCCUCCUGCUUCUAGUCUAGGCUUCUGGCAAUUUUGACGUAACAAAAGUGGGAUUCCUUCAUUCCUGACUUCAGAGCUUUUCCUUACUUCAGUAUUGCAUGAUAAUUCUCAAGCCUGUUCUUUACAUAAAUACAAAAAGGAGAAAGUGAAAUAGUAGAGGAACCGACCGAUUUGAAGGAGCUGCCACUAUUUGAUUCCUCCUGUUAGGACAUCUGAAUGACCCCAAGUUCCUGUUCUUGAGGCUGUUGUAUCAUAUUCUUAAAAGCUAUGCAUGCAUUCUGCUUUGAAUGUGUCCCUCAGCCUCAUUCUUCUCCACUUGCUGGGGGCCAUCCCGCCCCACGGGAAGGUAAGUUCAGGCUCAGAAGGAAAGACACGACAAAAAAAUCUUGCUUUUAUUUUUGUUGUCUAAAAUCAUGUUUCAUGCUCUUCUUUGAAUAAAAUCCAGGACUCCAGAGAUGACCUGUUACUUUUCUUUCAGCAAGUCUCUAAUUUGCCGAGGAGUAAACUUGUAAUGAAAAGAAACCAGAACUCCCCAAGGUAGCUCCCCCUCACAGUCAUUCCUCAAGGCAGG
rnacentral:lncRNA from 1 species